AGGCGCCCCGGAAGUGCUGCCCGGGCGGGGGUUUCUCUUCCGGGGCGGCCGGGCCGGACCUGGCCAGGUUAGGAGGAGGCAGGAAAUGGCGGCGUCGCUGCAGCAGCAGCUGCCGGGCCCUCCCGCUCCGCUGUGCCGGGCCCAGGCCUCCUAGGAGCUGCGGCCAGCGCCGGGCCCGGGCCGGACUCCGAGCACUUUACCUACAUGAGACAGUUGGAAGCCAAAGCUACCAAAGACGUGGGGAGAAAACUACGCAGGGAUUUAGUGCAAGAAGAGGAAGAACAGUUGAUGGAAGAAAGGAAAAAGAGAAAAGACGACAAGAAGAAGAAGGAAGCUGCUCAAAAAAAGGUAAGUUAAUCCUUAUACAAGUAAAAAUAUGAACCUAGGAUUUAGUUUUAAUGUCUGUUUACAAUAUUGCAUAUUUAGACAGUUGUUAAAGAUGAGACUUAAAAACCCCCCUCAUGUUCUGAAUCUACUAUUAACUGUUCACAAGUAAUUGUU
rnacentral:lncRNA from 1 species